AUGAACGGUGCGGCGCUAGACAACGUGAUCCGGCGGCUGCUGGAGGUGCGGCGGGGGCGGCCGGGGAAGCAGCAAGUGCAGCAGGUGCAGCUGGGCGAGGGGGAGAUCCGGCAGCUCUGCGGCGCCGCCAAGGACGUCUUCAUGCGCCAGCCCAACCUGCUCCAGCUCGACGCCCCCAUCAAGAUCGCCGGUGACAUCCACGGGCAGUACACGGACCUUAUCCGACUGUUUGAGCUGGGCGGCUUCCCGCCGCAGCACAAGUACCUGUUCCUGGGCGACUACGUGGACCGCGGCAAGCAGAGCAUCGAGACCAUCUGCCUGCUGCUCGCCUACAAGCUUCGGUACCCGGAGCACUUCUUCCUCCUCCGCGGCAACCACGAGUGCGCCUCCGUCAACCGCGUCUACGGCUUCUACGACGAGUGCAAGCGCCGCUACUCGGUCCGCCUCUGGCGCCACUUCUCCGACUGCUUCAACUGCAUGCCCGUCGCCGCCCUCAUCGAGUCGCGCAUCCUCUGCAUGCACGGCGGCCUCUCCCCGGACCUCCGCCACAUCCGCGACAUCGCUGGCCUCCCCAGGCCCGUCGAUGUGCCGGACACCGGCCUCCUCUGUGACCUCCUCUGGUCCGACCCCGGCGGCGCCGCGGGGUGGGGGCCCAAUGAGAGGGGCGUGUCGUACACGUUCGGGGCGGACGUGGUGGCGGCGUUCAUGGAGAGGCAUGACUUGGACCUCGUGUGCCGGGCGCACCAGGUGGUGGAGGACGGCUACGAGUUCUUCGCCGGGCGGAGGAUGGUCACGGUCUUCUCGGCCCCCAACUACUGCGGCGAGUUUGAUAACGCCGGCGCCCUCAUGUGCGUCGACGACGACCUCACCUGCUCGUUUCAGAUACUCAAGCCCGCGGACAACAGGCAGCGGCGUUUCGCCUUCGGCAUGGGAUCAUCGGCAACUACUAGUAGGGGGGUCCGAUCCCCGUGGUGGUAA
rnacentral:rRNA from 1 species